rnacentral:rRNA from 1 species
AUUGAACGCUGGCGGCAGGCCUAACACAUGCAAGUCGAGCGGAGUGGCGGACGGGUGAGUUAUGUAUGGGAAUCUGCAUGAUGGAGGGGGAUAACUACUGGGAACUGUAGCUAAUACCGUAUAAUAGCAGAUGAGCCGAGGUCGGAUUAGCUAGUUGGUGGGGUAUAGGCCUACCACGGCGACGAUCCGUAACUGGUCUGAGAGGAUGAUCAGUCACACUGGAACUGAGACACGGUCCAGACUCCUACGGGAGGCAGCAGUGGGGAAUAUUGGACAAUGGGCGAAAGCCUGAUCCAGCCAUGCCGCGUGUGUGAAGAAGGUCUUCGGAUUGUAAAGCACUUUAAGUUGGGAGGCGUUACCAACAGAAUAAGCACCGGCUAACUUCGUGCCAGCAGCCGCGGUAAUAC